rnacentral:piRNA from 1 species
UGUGGUGUUGUUGGGAUAUGCAGCU